rnacentral:rRNA from 1 species
AUUGAACGCUGGCGGCAGGCCUAACACAUGCAAGUCGAGCGGAUGAAGGGAGCUUGCUCCUGGCUUCAGCGGCGGACGGGUGAGUAAUGCCUAGGAAUCUGCCUGGUAGUGGGGGAUAACGUCCGGAAACGGGCGCUAAUACAGCAUACGUCCUGAGGGUGAAAGUGGGGGAUCUUCGGACCUCACGCUAUCAGAUGAGCCUAGGUCGGAUUAGCUAGUUGGUGGGGUAAAGGCCUACCAAGGCGACGGUCCGUAACUGGUCUGAGAGGGUGAUCAGUCACACUGGAACUGAGACACGGUCCAGACUCCUACGGGAGGCAGCAGUGGGGAAUAUUGGACAAAGGGCGAAAGCCUGAUCCAGCCAUGCCGCGUGUGUGAAGAAGGUCUUCGGAUUGUAAAGCACUGUAAGUUGGGAGGAAGGACAGUAAGUUAAUACAUUGCUGUUUUGACGGUACCAACAGAAUAAGCACCGGCUAACUUCGUG